UCCGUAGGUGGAUAAUUAAGUCAGAGGUGAAAUCCUGCAGCUCAACUGUAGAAUUGCCUUUGAUACUGGUUAUCUUGAGUUAUUAUGAAGUAGUUAGAAUAUGUAGUGUAGCGGUGAAAUGCAUAGAUAUUACAUAGAAUACCAAUUGCGAAGGCAGAUUACUAAUAAUCAACUGACACUGAUGGACGAAAGCGUGGGGAGCGAACAGGAUUAGAUACUCUGGUAGUCC
rnacentral:rRNA from 1 species